UUCUGGGGACACCAAACAAAGCGGGCUGCAUUUAGUCAAUAGGGGGCGCUACAAAUGCCUACUUCCAAUAUCUCCUGAACUGCUUUGCCUAUCCAAAGGAAAUUUGGCACAUGUGUACUAUGGCCAAACCUGAGGUCAGACCCGUAAUAUGACAGUCAUAAGUCAUACAAUGGUGGCCAUAAUUAGCCAAUGAAAAUCAAGCAUGCAUUUCACAGGCCUAGCAAUCACCAAUCUCAACUAAAUCUGGAUGAUCCAUGUGACUACAGACCCUGACCUCACCCUGGUAAGAGCACCAUAGUCUGCCAGAUGAGAGCGCUACAGCAACAACUUUUGCCGUUUCUGCCUAUUUCUCCAGAACUGUCAAGCGUACAGUUGACAUUUAUUGCCAAGCCAAUUCAGUAUGUCAAGCCAAAUCAAACAACAUGUAGAACUUAGUUCUCCAUAUUUGCACUUUUGCAUGAUUUAGGUAGGUCUGAUAACAGGACUUUUCGUUAACCUCCUAGAAUUUUCAUCCAACCUACAUGAAUCUGGUAUCAUUCAAAUCAGGAGACCGUCCUCAUAAAUAAUUACUCAAAAAAUCCUAAAGUUUCUGUAUUUAUUUUGCCAUACAGGUGGCACGCCCAUUUCAAUCAGACAGCUGUAUCUCAGGCCUGUCUCAGCCAAUCACUACCAAACUUGAAUAAAUCCUGUUAGGACAGUAGUGGGUGUAGGCCCUCCAAAUCUGGUGCCAAACGGUCAAACGGGGGUGGCACAGCAAUUUAACAUGUGUCUCUAAACCUGCAAAAUCAGUGAAACUGACAUUUUCCUCAUUCUGUUCUACUGACAUAUUAAUAGUCAAAAUCCUUUGUACUGCAAGUUCUGUGAGUCCUGCCAAAUCAAGAUAUAUGUACUGUCCAAUGACAGUGAUUUGCAUUCCGUCAUGAUGUUUAAAAACUCAAUAAAUGCCAUAUUCCUACAAUGUACACCCCACCUAGGUCAUUCUGGUCUCAGGUCAAUUAUGACACUGCCCUUAUGGAUGAUUCAUAAAAAUAACUUGACCUGCCUGUACAGUAUGGCCACCAGCCACAACCAACCCUGCACCAUUUCCAUACUCAUUUCAAUCAGGUGUCUUUAUCUCAGGCAUGCUUCAACCAAUCCUCACCAAAUUUGACCGACUAAUGUAGCACGAGACCACAAACAGACCCUCCAUGUUUGGUGCCAAUCGGUCAAACAGAGGCGCUAAGGCCACUGUCUAUAAAUGUCUAACACCCACCAUAGCAAAUUCAGCUGAAAUGUCCUUAUUUCUCAUAGAACCUUCAAUGAUACUUCAGGCUGUGUACACUGCAGCAAUUGGAAUUUUUAAAUAAAUUGGCCAGCAGGUGGAGUCAGUGCACCAUUUAUAAAAUUCAAUUCAAUACUAUCAGCCGUCCUCUUGUCUAAAUGAACAGCCUAGAACAGGAUACAGCAUGAUAUUACUGCUGUUACAUGCAGCAGUCCCGCAACUCAGCACUUUGUUAAUAAUAUACAACACAGCCUAUGUUUACACAAGCAGUAUAAACAAAGCAACCCUGUAAGAUCUAGACUUAUCAGACCAGGUAUGAAGGUGCCUAAAUCUACCAACUAGUCAGACCAUCAGACGCCUAACCAUGCAUUCAGUCAAGCUCAGGCACUCCACCACUGGGUUCUACAUUCUGUCCUACAUUUGCUGACCUUUUAGACCAACACUCAACAAUCUCCAUCCUCAUUUCUACCUACUAUUCAGACUAUCUGACCCAAACAAGUCCUGUUCUGUCGGACAUCUGCUGACCUAUAGUUCUGUUUGACUUUCUAGUACGCUCCUCUACUGUUUGUCCUACCAAGAUGACCAUCUUACGCUUUGGACCCGUUCCUUACUGCCUGCAGUUAUAUUUUGAUUUGUGUUUUUACUAUCAUUCUUUAUAUUAGGUCUUGACAAUCAGUAGGUUAAGAUAUGCAUUGUUGUCAUGACCUCGAGAGGUUCUGGCAUGGGGGCGAGGGAUUUAUUAACAAAAACCAAAAACACGGAGAACACUACAAAACAAAAAGGACCACUAAAGUAACUAAGAGAACAAAAUGAUCUACAAAGUGAAACUAGCUGCACAGGAACAGGCAGGGAUUAAAAACAUCAGAAACCACUGGCAGAAAGAACAUCAGCAGCACCAAGAACAAUAGCAACAGCAAGAACAUCAGCAGCACCAAGAACAUCACCAAGAAGAUUAGCAGCAGCAAGAACAUCAGCAGCAACAAAGAACAUCAGCAGCAGCAAAAACAUCUGCAGUAGCAAAGAACAUCAGCAAGAAAAUCAGCAGCAACAAGAACAUCAGCAGCAGCAAGAACAUCAGCAGCAACAAGAACAUCCGCAGCAGCAAAGAACAUCAUCAGCAGCAAAUAACAUCAGCAAGAAGAUCAGCAGUAGCAAAUAACAUCAGCACAGAACAUCCGCAGCAACAAAGAACAUCAGCAAGAACAUCCGCAGCAGCAAAUAACAUCAGCACAGAACAUGAGCAGCAGCAAAGAACAUCAGCAAGAAAAUCAACAGCAGCAAGAACAUCCGCAGCAGCAAGAACAUCUGCAGCAGCAAAUAACAUCAGUAAGAUCAACAGCAGCAAAUAACAUCAGCACAGAACAUGAGCAGCAGCAAAGAACAUCAGCAAGAAAAUCAACAGCAGCAAGAACAUCAGCAGCAGCAAGAACAUCCGCAGGAACAAGAACAUCCGCAGCAGCAAGAACAUCAGCAGCAACAACAAAUAUAGUGAUUUUAUUUUUUAUCAUCUUAUUUUUUAUCUUUAUAUUUUUUAUCAUUUUUUUUUCUCUUAGCUUAUUUGAAUUAUUUUAAUUUAUUUCAUAUUAUCAUUCUUCUUAUCAGGUCUUUCCUUUUUGAUUAAUAAAAAUAUGGGAGGAAUCCACUGAAAUAUAGGGACAGCAAGUCCAUGCACACAAUGUUGGGGUCGGUAAGGAUCCCGUGAUAUUGCAGCUGCAAAGUAAAAUCACUAGAUACUAAAACGCGGCAGCGGAGCCCCAGACAUUCACCAUGUCCAACUGAACUUUUCUAAGACAAAGCAGAACAUUUGGUACUCAAUCAGACGAAAUACGCCAAAGAUACAACUUCGUUUGUCUUCAUUGGCUCCAUAUAUAUAGGCGCUUGCAACAUGAUUAGUUUAAUGAAACAGCACCUACCGGCAUUCGAUCCCUCGAUGGUCAGCAUGCCAACCUCACCCGCUGAUCCUAAUGUCUUCUGUUUGAGUCCAAUGUCCCGAUCCAGUCAUGGAUAUAGCCCACAGCACAGCUCACAUACUUUUUCCAUCUUCAUCCGAUCCGUUCAAAACUAAGAAGUCUGGUAUUCAGUCAGCCCAAACGCUCCAAUGAUACACCGUACCUUGUCUCUCUUCACUGACUCUCUGUAGAUGCUGGCACCAAGUUCAGAGUAAUGGAAUAGCACCUAACUAUAAGUACUUCCACCCACCUACUGUACGUCCUGUCCCUCUGUGGCCAGAGGACCGCGUGACGUAGAAGUUCUAGAACUGCGUCAACACAGCUGCCCUUCAUAUCGCGAUUAAACCCGAUAGCCAAUGAGAAACGGGAUUACGUAAGUACAGGGUAAACUUGCAAAAUAUACACGUUACACCGCCCUUUCAAAUAAAAACGGAAAUGCGGUCCACAUGUAAGUUUAAUUUACCACUGCUUUGACCACGCAAUUGUUAGCUAAAUAUAAACAUGGGUCGCUUAGAGAUUUACAAAAAAGCUGUACUAACCAGUAAAAGUAAUUUUCGUAGCAGCAGCUAGUCGCCUUACUAAUCGUUACCUCCCACUUAUUUUCAUCUAUUUACUAUUUUGCAUAAAAAGAGAGAUCGGAAUCAUUUGAAACUAAGCAUCCAAUCAGAAUCCCCGGUCCCACUCUGUGUUCCGGUGUCUUGUAUUUCCUAAGUCCCGUAUUUCUUUAGAUUGAAGGUAACAUCCCUACUAAUAGUAAUUGUUCUGUUAUCAUUGUAUUACAUUGAAUUAAUUAGAAUAUAUUAGCUGUGAAAGUUUAUUCCUUUGCUCUUUAGACGUCUAAUUCAAAACAAUGCGCCUGCGAAUAGGUCCUUGUUUAAUGAUGUCAUGGGUAGGAGCUCAAAUUGUUGUAGUCACGACGUAGGGACUCGAGUUGUCCGUCUUUUACAGCUUGUUAGUCUUUGAAGGGAUUAUUUGUAUCGUAGCGCCGGCUGGGCGCAUGUCCCAGCAUGCCUCGCAUGCAAGUUCUUUUCCAGCACUGGAAUGAAAAUGAUGCAAAACUUAAUUAAAGCAGAUGUUCAGUGAACAGCUGUUGCCAUCCCACCAGCAGGGGGCAGGACUGCCCCUCAUCAUAUCAAGCAAUGCAGUGUGAGGCUUCCUAUGCAGCUUGCGUGCUCCCUCCCUCUCCCCCUUGGCUUUGUUCAGCCAUUUACUUUGUGUUUCUGUGGCUGUGUGUUUUGCUUCUUUCAGCUGGUUUUAGGAUCUAAACUGGUCAAAGACCAUGGUAUGGCUGCUUAAGAAAGCUCACCAAAGCCUACUCUUUAUGUGGAGGCUGAAGAAAUUUGGCAUGUUGCUGACAGUCCUAGGCAGCUUCUACAGGUGCACAGUGGAGAGCAUAUUAAUCUGCUGCAUAGCUGUGUGCUUUGGCAGCUGCGCUGGACAGGACAGACAGGCACUGCAGUGGGUGAUCAUGUUAGCUCAGAAAAUCACAGGGUUAGGUCUCCCUUCACUGCAGGACAUCUGUGACAGGAGAAUCUGCAGAUGGGCCAGCAGCAUUGUCAGCAGUCUCACCCACCUCACCCAACUAAUCGUCACUCUCAUGAAACCUGUAAAGGAGUGUUAAUACCACAACACCCAGACUCCAGAACAGUCUGUACCCCCAGGCCAACAGAAGGAUCAAGUACUGCCACCCUCUGCCAGCUGUGCCCCCACCCCAGGCACUAUGGCAAUGAUCACCCAGCUUGCAGCACUCUGCACCUUACAUGCAUUUGUUGGAGUUUGUGUUAAGCAAAUAAAUGCCUUUUUCUUAAACCAA